rnacentral:rRNA from 1 species
GACGAACGCUGGCGGCGUGCUUGACACAUGCAAGUCGAACGGAAAGGCCCUGCUUUUGUGGGGUGCUCGAGUGGCGAACGGGUGAGUAACACGUGAGUAACCUGCCCUUGACUUUGGGAUAACUUCAGGAAACUGGGGCUAAUACCGGAUAGGAGCUCCUGCUGCAUGGUGGGGGUUGGAAAGUUUCGGCGGUUGGGGAUGGACUCGCGGCUUAUCAGCUUGUUGGUGGGGUAGUGGCUUACCAAGGCUUUGACGGGUAGCCGGCCUGAGAGGGUGACCGGCCACAUUGGGACUGAGAUACGGCCCAGACUCCUACGGGAGGCAACAGUGGGGAAUAUUGCACAAUGGGCGGAAGCCUGAUGCAGCAACGCCGCGUGCGGGAUGACGGCCUUCGGGUUGUAAACCGCUUUCGCCUGUGACGAAGCGUGAGUGACGGUAAUGGGUAAAGAAGCACCGGCUAACUACGUG